rnacentral:lncRNA from 1 species
UUGAAUAAGAAUUUUACCUUUGCCCUUCAUGUCUACUUUGGAGGAGUCACCAAAAGACACAUGUCUAUUCACCGAUUCGUCCAACUCCAUGAACAUAUUCUUAUAGCCACACAUAUGAUUACUUGCACCGGUGUCCAAAAACCACAUAUUUUGCUCACCGAUGUCAUUUUCUUUGCAAGCAAGCGAUAAGACUUCAUCACCAUCUUCUUUUUUUUUUUUGCUUAAUGAGACUUCUCUUCAACUUGGUUAGUAUCAUUGUACCAA